rnacentral:lncRNA from 10 species
UUAAAAAGAAGUAAACAUGUUAAUGAAACAGAAAAAAAGUAAAUUAAUAGACCAAUUCCUGGCAAAGAUGAUGAGAAUGCUAAUUCAGUUUAAGAGGGAGAAAAUAAAUCAUCAUCUCUGGGGGCCUACAAUUCAGAAAGACAGUCCAGGGCAGGCGGGCAGACUCUGCUCCACGAAGUCAUCCAGAGAUUGAAACUAGCAGGUGCUCUGCCAUUGUAUAAGGCAUCCUUUUUUUUUGGUCUGCAUGGCAGAAAUUAAAUCUCUGAAACAUUUGUGUUCCAGACAAUAGGAGGAGAAAGAAAGGAGGGAGCAUUACAAACAAGAUCUUAAGACCAAUGUUCUGGAAGUGACAUGUGUCUCUUCUGCUCAUAUUCCAUCAGUAAGAACCUGAUUUUUGGUGAGAACACAGGGGACUGAGAAAUGUAAUAUAGCUGGGAUGCCAUGUGCCUGGCUGGUAGAAGAAAGGAAAAACAUAUUUUUGUGGUCUACUUAGCAGUGUCUCUCACACCUGCUACAGUGGACCUUUAUAAAUUAUGUAAAAGUAGUGUAUAUAUGGAUAAAACUAAAUAUUUCAGUGACAUGAAGUGUUCUGAGAAAAUGUAAAUGAACCAAAUUGAAGAAAAGAGAAGUAGAAAAUAUGAAAAGAUAAUAAUUCUUUCCAACAUUGCCUUUGUCUAAGGCAGUUUUACUGCUUUACUGCUGUGUCUUUUAACUUUCAAUAAGUAGAUAAAUACCAUAUUAUAGAAACUUCUUCAGAGCAUUAUAAAAAACAAUUUGCCAUCAAUUCCUUUUGAAAAGGUAGAAUAAUCCUGAUGCUCAAGCUUGAAAAAUAUAAUACAUCAAAGGACAUUCUAGACCCAUCUCAUUGAGAAUAGAGAUGUAAAACUCCUACAUAAAAUAUUACCAAAUAUAAUUCAGUAGCCUAUUAAAUGCAUCAUGCAUGAUGAUCAAGCAUGACUUAUCUCAGAAAUACAAUGAAGAUUUAAGAAAACUAUCAAUAUGUGAUUACUUAUAUCAUGCUUCCCAAAAGAAACACUAAAUAAUACUACUCCAAAAAUGAAAAGGCAAAAAGCAUAUUUUCUUAUUCCUGAUUUCUUUGAAAAUUGUUUUUUAUAGUACUAGGCAAAGGAUGAUUUUUUAGUAUGAUAAAUAAUAUGUCCUCAACCAAUAGCCAAAAUAUUUUACUGUGCUUUACACUAAAGUUGCCAACAUAAGAUACCUACUAUCAUUAUUUUAAGUGUUUCUCAUAAAGUACCUACAGAUGGCUUAUGUCUUAGUUCAUUCUGUGCUGCUAUAACAGAAUAUCCGAGACUGGGUAGUUUAUAAAGAACAUAAAUUUAUUUAUUAUAGUUCUGGAGGCAGGAAAGUCCAAGAUUAAGGCACCAGCAUCUGGGUCUGGUGAGGGCUUUCUUGCAGCAUCCUCACAUGGCAGAGGGAAAGCUACAAAAAACUCCUUCCAUCAAGCAAGCCCUUUUAUAAGGACGUGUAAUACCAUUCUCAAGGGAGGAACCCUCAAGACCUACUCACCUCCUAAAGGGCCCGCCUCUUAAUACUAUCACACUGGCAACACCUGAAUUUUGGAGGGGACACAUUCGUACCAUAGCAUCUUAAAAAGAGUACAGAUGGCUAAAUAAGGAAAAUCUAUAAUCCCCUGCUCAGCCUCUUCCUACUCACCCUUCCCUUUAAUCCCCUUUCCAGUUUCUAAUAAUCAUAGCACUAUUUUAAUUUCUCUAUUAUUAUCUUCAUAUACUUAAAAUACUUUUCAUACACAUGAAAUUAUUUUUCCUAUUUUACCAAAUAUAGACUGUCUUGAUUCUUCACUGUAUAAUUAGGCAAACAGUUCUCUAGCAUUCUUAGUAAAUAAAUUGUUAUUCAGUGUGUAGAAUCUUGAUAAAUGCUAAUUGUGUUUAGUAAUAAAUUGCAUCCUAAUUUUAUUUUUAAACAAAUUUGUAUUUAAUGCCUGUUGCUUUGAAACUUUCAUACAGAGUAUAUACAACUUUUUUUCCCUACCAGAGACCAACAGUGAUAAUAACUAAAUUUAAAAAUAAGAAGGUUUUUAACUUUUAUUUCAAGUUUUUAUUUAACAGGACAAAAAUAUAAAAUAGGAGUAUAUUUCUCUGUUCUUGAAAUUCAGAAAAUAUGGAAUUAGAAUAAAAUAUUUUUAAAAAUCAGUCACAUAAUAGCAUUUCAGAGAAAUGGGGAAAUGGGAAAUGAUGAAAUAAAUAACAUAAACAUAUUGACUCAUGCUUUCUUAGAGGGUAGAAUGAUAUAAGUUCAAAAAGUUCCAGAGAAGAUGACCACACAAACUGAACAAAAUGUAAGUACAUAGAACAUGAAGAAAGAUAUCAUGGUAACUCUAUAAGUUCAUUUUAAUAUUUCCUUGAGAAAACAAAUAAUUGUUCCAUACUUUAAUUGAUUUGAGAACACCAAAUUUAAAAUAUUGGAUUUAUAAAAAGUCAGUAAAAUUAUAUUUGUAUUUUGGGAAAAUGAAAAAGAAAUAAAAAAGUUGUCACUCUCCAAAAAAAAAAAAAAAA